rnacentral:tRNA from 1 species
GAUCUUAUAUUCAAAUAUGAUUUUAAAUUGCAAAUUUAAAGGUGAAAUUAUUUUCUAGGGUCU